GGGGAUUUGUGCUGACUGGAAGCUAUCCAAUGUUAUACCAAUCUGCAUGUAAGAAGAUCCAGAAAGCUACACCUGUUAAUCUAACCUCAGUCCCUGGAGAAGUUAUGGAGAAGAUUGUUCUGGAUGAUAUUGAAAGGCAGUUAAAGAAAAAAGCCAUAAGCAGUAGCACACAAGUGCCUCUCUGUGCAGAGUUCAUCCAUGCAAACAAACAAUAUUCAUUCAAUUCAGUUUUGAAAUUGAUACAUGUGGAAACAGAUUCAUCUGCAGUGUGGUACCAGAAGCCCUCAGGUCCUGGCUUAUGUGCCUCAAUCACAGAAUAACAGAAUCACAGAAUGGCCUGGGUUGGAAGGAACCUCAAGGAUCAUGACUCUCCAACUCC
ensembl:lncRNA